GAGGAAAGGCAGAAAUGGAGUGUGUCUGCAGAGGUAGCGAGGCGUUCACUGUCUCCGAGCCUCCUGCUUCCACAGGCCAGUGAUGGAUGGAAGUCAGCAGAUUGUUGCAGCUUCAGCCGACUCAUCCAGGAAUGUUGUGACAUCUAUUUCUAAUGGCGUCCGUGUUCCCCGAGAAUCAACCCUAACGCUGUCUGACAGAAACAUAUGUCUCCGUUGUGCCUGUGCGACUCGGCUCCGCACACUGAACUCCACUGGAGGUUUGGCUUCACAGGCUCAGACGAGCAGCGGUUCGGUCCUCAUCCGCCUGCUGCUCGCGUGUAAAACACAUUAUUACUGGAAGAGGGGGGUUGGCAUCGAAACCGCGCACAUAUGAAUAUAGAUUCUGUUUCAUGCAGGAGCUUCUGCAAAAAUGCAGAAUUUCAGGUCCAACUUUUCAAACAGCAACUUUUCAGACUUUUGCUUUACAGCCUCCAGUUCAACACCACAGUCGUUCACCUCGGUCAGCUGGGACGUCGCAGCGUUGACUAUUUGUUUGAUCAGAAGACGACUUUGCAGAGUUUUGGCAUUUAAGACCAGGGGAAAUGAGAAACGCCUGAAGAUGGGAGUGUGUCAGAGGAUGAGGGACGGCUGAGAGCUGCGUCUGGGAGACGUGGGACUGAGCACAGAUCGUCUCUGAACGGCGCGCUGAGCCCCAGUUCUGUCCGGUGGAAUCAGUCAGCGGCCGAUGCUGCAGCUCCAGGUGUUCGCAAACACCUCCUGCGCGUGUGUGGAACACAAACAGUUGUUUACGCCGUCACAUCUGUCAAGCUGCCACCUGGGAAUUAAAGCUUUAGCUGUGAGCACAGACAGGAGCUGGCAGAGAUCUGCAGACGAUGGCUGGACCAGCAUCCAGCAGCCGCCGCUACAGGGCCGACUGUAAUAAGCCUGUAAGAAGCCUGUAAUAAGCCUGUAAGAAGCCUGUAAGAAGCCUGUAAGAAGCCUGUAAUAAGCCUGUAAGAAGCCUGUAAUAAGCCUGUAAUAAGCCUGUAAUAAGCCUGUAAGAAUCCUGUAAUAAGCCUGUAAGAAGCCUGUAAGAAGCCUGUAAUAAGCCUGUAAGAAGCCUGUAAGAAGCCUGUAAUAAGCCUGUAAUAAGCCUGUAUUAAGCUUGUAAGAAGCCUGUAU